rnacentral:lncRNA from 10 species
UCAGGUAGUUCAGUUAAGUGAAUUUGAUACCAGGAACUAGUUACAAAGGAGUUGGAAGGGCUGGAAAGCCAAACUGGAGAAGAAGGGGAACCCCAGAGUAACAAUAGCAGGAAGCCUCUACCGUCUACCUCUAGAACUGGGGAGGAGCUGAGUUAACAGAGUCCUGGAGCCAUUGCUGGGGAAGAAGAACCCCAACUGCAGAGGAAAAGUGGCCAUUGUGAAGAAGGUGAUGGUGGAGAAGUCGUCUGAAUCAAAGGGGAGAGGAUAUGUUGGCUCCUUUAUCUUUUUAUCUUUCAUUGUCCUAAUUCCUUCUGGGCAUGGUUAAAUGAGCCCAGGAAAUGCAGUUGGCAGGAAUCAGCUUCCUGUGACAUAGACAGAGUAAGAGAAGGACAAAAAUAAUGAAUCUGAGAGCAAGCAGGCAAAUGACCAGCACAUUAAGCCUAGCACACAGUAUGUUAUACGGGAUUUGGGGUAGCAAAAGAUGAAGGCAGGUCAGAGAAGCCACAACUAGGGGAUGGGCAAGGUCAAUGAGGUAUGACGGGUAUUGUAUACAGGAAGAGGGUCAUAAACAGGAGUGGAGUCAAUACAGGAGACUAACAUAUACACAUCAUAAAUAUUAGUAGAGAAGCAUAAAAUAGUCUCCUGGAGAUCAGGGAAACAGGAAAUUAUAGGUUUUCAGGAUAAUUCAGCCAUAUCCAGGAAACACACACAGUGAAGUAACAAAGAGUCAAUAGGCUUAGAGUGGUACAAUUCAUUAUGCACAUGUAGGAAUUCAUUCCAAAUAAUAGGCUGAAAUGUAGACAUGAGAAUCCAAAAAAGAUGUUUUCUUAGUUUUUGCCAAUAUCUUAGCUACGUUUUUUUUGGUUCAACAAAGUAAGUUAACAGUCAUAUCUGCUUGGAAAUUGUAUUUAGGCCAGGUGCAGUGUCUCACGCCUGUAAUCCCAGCACUUGGGGUGGCUGAGGCAGGAGGAUCCCUUGAGCCCAGGAGUUAGAGGCUGCAGUGAGCGACAACUACACCACUGCAUUCCAGUCUGGGUGACAGAACAAAAACUUAUUAAAAAAAGAAAAAAAAAAGGUCGGGCGCGGUGGCUCACGCCUGUAAUCCCAGCACUUUGGGAGGUCGAGGUGGGCGGAUCACGAGUCAAGAGAUGGAGACCAUCUUGGUCAACAUGGUGAAACCCCAUCUCUACUAAAAAUACAAAAAUUAGCUGGGCAUGGUGGCAUGCACCUGUAGUCCCACCUAUUCAGGAGGCUGAGGCAGGAGAAUCGCUUGAACCCGGGAAGCGGAGGUUGCAGUGAGCUGAGAUUGCACCACUGCACUCCAUCCUGUCGAGACUCUGUCUCAAAAAGAAAAAAAAGGAAAAGAAACUAUUGAAAUAGCUGAUAUUAGUUUGCUUACUUGUCGUUACUCUUUUUCAUGAUGGAUUAUAAAGAAAAGUUAUAACUAUUUGAAUUUUCUGCUGAUUUGAAGUCUCUAUAAACAGUACAUUCCUUUUUGGUACACAGAGGGCACUUAUCUGCAAGAAAGGCAAAGAAAAUGGAAAAGUUAAUGAAAGAGGAAUCAUCCAAUCCACGAACAGAAUGAAACCACAUACACAGUGAAGAAACUUGUCUUACAUUUUCUUCCUUAUAUUACUUAUCAUUCAUGGUAGUGACUACUUUGGGGCUUGAGUAAAGCUUCUCUAAUUUAUUCCAUGUAGCAUCAUAUGUGAAAAAGACAAAUAGAUACUUUAGACAUGAUAAUAACACUUUAUUUUUUAUUUAUUUGUUUAUUUUGAGACAGAGUUUUGCUCUUGUUGCCCAGGCUGGAGUGCAAUGGUGCAAUCUCAGCUCACUGCAACCUCUGCCUCCUGGGUUCAAGCGACUCUCCUGACUCAGCCUCCCAAGUAGCUGGGAUUACAGGCACGCAUCACCACGCCCAGCUAAUUUUUUGUAAUUUUAGUAGAGACAGGGUUUCUCCGUGUUGGCCGGGCUGGCCUCAAACUCCUGACCUCAGGUGAUCCACCCACCUUGGUCUCCCGAAGUGCUGGGAUUAUAGGUGUGAGCCACCAUGCCUGGCCCAUAACACCUUAUUUAAAAAUAAUCUGUCUGGAUCCAUACAACUUGUCUGGAUAACUAAAUUGGAAAUUAUUCCUUGUUUUAAAGUAAUUCAAUUGAAAAUUUUUAAAUUUUUUUGUUAAUCAAGCACUUUUUGGUGGAAUCUAAAUUAACACAUGUAGGAGAUGCCUGUUUCACUAAUUACACAGGCAUCUUGCAGUAAUUAAUGUCUGGGAGGAAGGAAUGUCUUUUGCUUACUCUCUUCUUCUUCACAAAAAUGUGAAUUUUGGAAAGCAAUAAUGGAAGCAUGUAGAAUUAUAGAAAUACAAAUGUAUAUAACUAUCACAAAAAAAUGAGGCCAAAGGACUAUUCAGAUAUAAUUAGGCUAUGGUAGCUGUAAUUAUCUAGGAAAUUAAUAAAAUUCAUUCACCUAGAAAUUAUUAGUGAGCAUCAAAUAUGUGUCAGCACUAGGCUAGGGUCUCAGAACGUACAGAUAAAUCAUAGUUCUGGCUUCAGGGAGUUAUAUAGAUUAGAGAUAAAACCUAACUACAGGGGCUGGGCACGGUAGAACAAAGGGGAUGUGUCCCCAGGCAAAGGGUAGUCAGCAAGCCUGCAACCUCAGGGUUCCCGGAUCUGAGCCUCUGGCUCUUGGCUAGGCAGGCCCCAAGCGUUGGCCUCCUGCCAUGGCAAGCUCCAGCCUGGUCUCCCACCUUGAGCUAACAUUCAUAUGUUGUAGACACAGCCACGCUUCCUGCUUACCUGUCACUUCCAGUUCUCGAAGGCACCCUUUUCAAAUGAAAAUCCGCCCCUUUUCACAUCAAACAGCUCAUCUGGUCCUGUGGAUUACAUUUCUCAGAAAUGCCUCUGAACAUUCGCCUCCUCUCCACCCCCACUGCCUCUGCUACAGUGCAGGUGCUCGCCAUUUCUGAUUUGUUCUGUCACACACUCGUUUAUCAGGUCUCUCCAUCUCCUGUUUUGACAUGCUGUAAAGCAAUUUGCCACUGGAAAAAAGGGCUCUCUUUUUUUUUUUGAGACGGAGUCUCGCUCUGCUGCCCAGGCUGGAGUGCAAUGGCAUGAUCUCGGCUCACUGCAACCUCUGCCUCCCAAGUUCAAGUGAUUCUCCUGCCUCAGCCUCCCUAAAGUCUGGGAUUACAGGUGCACGCCACCAAGCCCGGCUAAUUUUUGUAUUUUUAGUAGACGUGGGGUUUCACCAUAUUGGCCAAGCUGGUCUCGAACUCCUGACCUCAGGUGAUCCACCCGCCUCGGCCUCCCAAAGUGCUGGGAUUUCAGGUGUGAGGCAUCGUGCCCGGCCUCUCUUUCCAAAGUAUGUUAUUAUUUUUCCCAAGACCCUUUGACGGAUCCUCAUUUCCUACACACAGUGGUUCUCAAACUUGGAUGUACUCCAGAAUUACAUAGGAAAUUCUUCAUUUUUUUAGACGAGGUCUUGCUAUGUUUCUCAGGUUGGUCUCAAACUCUUGACCUCGUGUGAUCCUCCGGCCGCAGUCUCCCAAGUAGCUGAGAUUAUAGGCGUGCCACUGAGCCCAGCUGGAAAUUUUUUUAAAACACAGAUUCCUCUGAAUCAAAAUUUCUAGAAGUGAGGUCUGAGCAAUCUGUAUUUUUAACAAGUUAUCCAGAUGGCUCUUUACUGUCAGUCUGGUUCCAGCUGAGGGAGUUUUAGAAUUACAAGGCAAAGUCCAAACUUAGCACACAAAGUCAUUCACAUCAACUCUUCCCCUGUACACACCCUAUGUCAUAGCCAGAGUUGUAACCCAUUUCUUAAACACCCAGGGUUCUUUUAAGUCUCUGUGUCAUUGUAUGUUAUUUUCUCUAGAAUUGCCUUUAACCUCCUUUCCACCCUGGAAAGCAUUCCCUAAGCCAUCUUUGAAGCUUUCUUUGAUCUCUAACUUAGAGUCCUCCUCUCCUUCUAAAGCCCUGUGUUAAUCACUUGUCAUGGUGUACUUUAAUUUUUACUUGCCUGUUUCUCUUUACGGUACUUUGACUUCAAAGGGUGGGGCUGCAAAUUAGUCAUCUCCUUAGAGUCCAGCCUUGUUCCUAGUUCCUAACUGGCACUUAAUAUAAACGAAUGAAUGAAUGGACAAAUGAAGAGAAUGCUAGUUAUGAUAAAGAAUUGGCCGUGUAUGAGACUACUUCUCUUUAUGAACUAAAUAAUUAUAUGCCUUUCAAUAAAAUACUAGUACACGUAGCUAGCACAAGCUCAUCAGCAUUUGAGAUGAUAUGGAAACCAAAAUAAACAAAUGCUACCACAAAAACAUAAUGACUGCUUUCCCCAGUGCAGGACUGAUGGAAUCAUCAAACAUUGAGAUUAAUGUAAUGUUUGGCAGAUGUCCAGUGUUUUUAUUUUUCAUUUGCCUUUGUGUUCAUUUAUGGACUAACAAUAUAAUAAACACACACAUACUCACAGUACAUCUUUUUUUUUUUUUUUUUUGCAAAGCCCAGUUUUCUUCAUCGCAUAUCUUUGUUUUCUUCAAGUAUCCCCUUACUUAAUGUUGGUAGUAUUUUUUUUAAUGAAAUAUAAAUCCCUAACCACCAAGCAAGAAAUGAGACUCUUAAUUGCAUCAGUUUACAGUGCAAUGUGAGUGUAAAUAGUGUAAAUUGAAUUUUUAAUGGACUUUUUUUUUUCCCGUUUUUGCUUGCCUUACAUUCAUUAUCCCUCCCUGGGUAAUAAACAUUUAUUUUUCCCUUUGUAACCACUCCUCCCCUUCUGUCCAUGUGGUUCUUUUUAGUGGAGCUGGUGGUAGGGAUGUGGCAUGAGAUUCAAGCUUGGCCACCUGGAGUCACUGUGUUGUGCUCCAGAAGGACACCUGAUCCAAGUCAGCCAGUAAGAGUGAGCCCCAGGAUUUUUGCUUGGACCACUGAGGAAAAGUGUACUCUGCCCUGUGGCUGAUCAACCAUUAGGAUAUAAGCCAUUGUUGUAGCUGUGUGAGUCAAGCUACCUGAGAAUGAGGACAACACAGUGGCAAGCAACACCAAGAGAGAAAAAGAGGCAGAUUCUGAUGACAUUUUUGAGCCUUUGCAUCCAGCUAUGCCUGAAUCCAAUUUAUCCCCUGGAAUUUACACUUACUUGAGCUCCACCCACUUGAAAGAAAACAUUUCUUUUUAUUCUUAGCCUGAUUUGAAUUUGGCCUCUCUCAUUUACUACCCAAAGUGUCUUGACCACUAGAAUAUUAUGCCAGACUUUACAGCAUCAUUGAAUUUGCCACUUUCCAGAAGAGUUGUGUGAAUUUUCAAUGUAGCUUUUACCUUCUAUGAGUAUCUAGAGAUAUAUUUAAGUAGAAGUACUCCACUAGUUUGUUGUGAGAUCUUAAGUCACUUAAUUUCUCUGUACCCUAGUUCCCUCAUUUGCUAGACCUAGGGAGCUAUAAUGUUCCUUCUGCAAAAUUCUUAUUUUGUGAAAUAUUCUAGAAUGUCUAACUGAUACACUGCUAGAACAACUGACUGCUAUUUAAGAAGAGUUGACUGCUAUUUAAGGAUCAUAAUUCUCUAGGCAUAAGUGCUGUGACGGCACAGCGUGUGCAUCGGGGCUGAGGGGUGGGGUGGAGCAGAAAGUAGGAGGAGAAAGUUUGAUAAACUUCCUUUUGGAUAAAUUGAAAACAGUCAAAUAAUUUAUAAUUUCUUAUAUUAUCAUUAUUAGCUUCUUCUAUAAUUAGGAGACUUGUUCCAAAAUGUGAGAAUUGUCACAAGUUGUCAAAUUCAUCAAAGGAAGAAAAUGGAUGUCUCACAAAAAAGUAUGCUCAGUCCAAUUUCUUCUCGUCACACUGGAACAAACUGAACAGUUUUACACAGAGAUGAGAAGCCUGGACAUUUUUCAAAUAUGUUUUGAAGAGAAUGGCAAUGCCUGAGACAGAAGUAGGAAAAAGCAAUGAAUAUUUAAAAAUCUGAGCUGGUGUAAAACUAGAAAUAGUUUUAGUAAGAACAAUGUGAUGUGCUACACUAAGUGAAAUGUAUACAUUGGGCCACAUUAUAAUCAAAAAUAAGAAUGUACUUUUAUUCAUCUUUUAUUUAAACAAUAAUCAAGGUGGCGGGCGCGGUGGCUCAUGCCUGUAAUCCCAGCACUUUGGGAGGCCAAGGUGGGUGGAUCAUGAGGUCAGGAGUUCAAGACCAGCCUGGACAACGUGGUGAAACCCCGU